GGCUCGGGAGCGCACUGUUGGGAAGGUGCGCAAGUAUGGAGCCCACACCCGUUUCGCAAGCGGCCGGCGGCUGAGGCCCGACAGCCCGCCCG
ncrna:unclassified sequences Rhodo-rpoB RNA